UACGUAGGGUGCAAGCGUUGUCCGGAAUUAUUGGGCGUAAAGAGCUCGUAGGCGGUUAGUCGCGUCUGCUGUGAAAACUCGGGGCUUAACUCCGGGCCUGCAGUGGGUACGGGCUGACUAGAGUGCGGUAGGGGAGACUGGAAUUCCUGGUGUAGCGGUGAAAUGCGCAGAUAUCAGGAGGAAUACCGGUGGCGAAGGCGGCAUCCUGGACCGGCAUUGACGCUGAGGAGCGAAAGCCAGGGGAGCAAACGGG
rnacentral:rRNA from 1 species